AGUGAACGCUGGCGGUAGGCCUAACACAUGCAGGUCGAACGGCAGCACAGUAAGAGCUUGCUCUUACGGGUGGCGAGUGGCGGACGGGUGAGGAAUACAUCGGAAUCUACUUUUUCGUGGGGGAUAACGUAGGGAAACUUACGCUAAUACCGCAUACGACCUACGGGUGAAAGCAGGGGAUCUUCGGACCUUGCGCGAUUGAAUGAGCCGAUGUCGGAUUAGCUAGUUGGCGGGGUAAAGGCCCACCAAGGCGACGAUCCGUAGCUGGUCUGAGAGGAUGAUCAGCCACACUGGAACUGAGACACGGUCCAGACUCCUACGGGAGGCGGCAGUGGGGAAUAUUGGACAAUGGGCGCAAGCCUGAUCCAGCCAUACCGCGUGGGUGAAGAAGGCCUUCGGGUUGUAAAGCCCUUUUGUUGGGAAAGAAAAGCAGCAGGUUAAUACCCCGCUGUUCUGACGGUACCCAAAGAAUAAGCACCGGCUAACUUCGUG
rnacentral:rRNA from 1 species